CGGGACGUGGCGCAGCCUGGUAGCGCACCUGCUUUGGGAGCAGGGGGUCGCGAGUUCAAAUCUCGCCGUCCCGACCA
rnacentral:tRNA from 3 species